GACGAACGCUGGCGGCGUGCUUAACACAUGCAAGUCGAGCGAGAAACCUUCGGGUUUCUAGCGGUGGACGGGUGAGUAACACGUGGGUAACCUGCCUCAUAGAGGGGGAUAGCCUCCCGAAAGGAAGAUUAAUACCGCAUAAUAUUACAGUUUCGCAUGAAGCAGUAAUUAAAGGAGUAAUCCGCUUUGAGAUGGACCCGCGGCGCAUUAGCUAGUUGGAGAGGUAACGGCUCACCAAGGCAACGAUGCGUAGCCGGCCUGAGAGGGUGAUCGGCCACAUUGGAACUGAGACACGGUCCAGACUCCUACGGGAGGCAGCAGUGGGGAAUAUUGCACAAUGGGCGAAAGCCGGAUGCAGCAACGCCGCGUGAGUGAUGAAGGUCUUCGGAUUGUAAAGCCCUGUCUUUUGGGGCGAUAAUGACGGUACCAAAGGAGGAAGCCACGGCUAACUACGUGCCAGCCGCCGCAGUAA
rnacentral:rRNA from 1 species